rnacentral:rRNA from 1 species
UGUUAUACUUUAWUAAAAAUUGGGAUGCUAGAAUAGUAAUCAGCUAUGGUCUUGAAACUUAAAGGAUUUGGSGGUAUUUUAGUYUUGUUGGGGGAACCUGUUKYGUAAACGAUAAACCGSGAAGYUUYUUUCCCCCUUUAGYAUAAGUCAGCAUGUAUACCGUCAUUWUUAGAUAACCUUUAUAGGGRGUUWUUAAARUAAUAGUGAGUUAAGAUAUUAGAUCAAGGUGCAGCCGAUAGGGGGGUGUUAAUGGGUUACAGUAUUAUUAAUAUAUUACGGAUGUAGAGUAGAAUUAUUUUGUAGAAGGUGGACUUAAAUGUAGUUAUUUAUUUAACACGAGAUAACCGAUUUG